rnacentral:rRNA from 1 species
AUUGAACGCUGGCGGCAGGCUUAACACAUGCAAGUCGAGCGGGGAAGGGUAGCUUGCUACCUAACCUAGCGGCGGACGGGUGAGUAAUGCUUAGGAAUCUGCCAUUUAGUGGGGGACAACAUUCCGAAAGGAAUGCUAAUACCGCAUACGUCCUACGGGAGAAAGCAGGGGAUCUUCGGACCUUGCGCUAAAUGAUGAGCCUAAGUCGGAUUAGCUAGUUGGUGGGGUAAAGGCCUACCAAGGCGACGAUCUGUAGCGGGUGUGAGAGGAUGAUCCGCCACACUGGGACGGAGACACGGCCCAGACUCCUACGGGAGGCAGCAGUGGGGAAUAUUGGACAAUGGGCGGAAGCCUGAUCCAGCCAUGCCGCGUGUGUGAAGAAGGCCUUAUGGUUGUAAAGCACUUUAAGCGAGGAGGAGGCUACUUAGAUUAAUACUCUAGGAUAGUGGACGUUACUCGCAGAAUAAGCACCGGCUAACUCUGUGCCAGCCGCCGCAGUAA